rnacentral:rRNA from 1 species
CAGUCGCCGCGGUAAUACGUAGGGUGCGAGCGUUAAUCGGAAUUACUGGGCGUAAAGCGUGCGCAGGCGGUUCGUUAAGACAGAUGUGAAAUCCCCGGGCUCAACCUGGGAACUGCAUUAGUGACUGCAUCGCUGGAGUGCGGCAGAGGGGGAUGGAAUUCCGCGUGUAGCAGUGAAAUGCGUAGAUAUGCGGAGGAACACCGAUGGCGAAGGCAAUCCCCUGGGCCUGCACUGACGCUCAUGCACGAAAGCGUGGGGAGCAAACAGGAUUAGAUACCCCGGUAGUCCCUGUCUCUUAUAC